UCCCAGGGGUAUCUGGAUGGCACCUGCCAGCUGGUGCUGGUGCAGGGGAGAUAAAGAUGAUAGCUGUGUAAUUUAGCAGUGCCCUUGGCCCUUUGGUUGGCCGGUGUGCUGGUAACAUGUUUUGCUCUUCCCGCAGACUCCCCAGAAGGUCUGUUGUAGAGUUUGGUAGAAUGACUAGGAUGGUAACUUCUGGAAGAAGACUUCAGAUUUUUGGAAUCACCCCAAGCGGAAGAAGCAACAUCGGCGGCCCCUGCUUCUGUGAGGGGGCUCCUGGAUCACCAAGCGACGGCACGUCCUGGAGGUGUCGGCAGUGCUGGGGCCCACCCUUCCCCGUGGUGGUGUUUUCUGGGUCACUCUGUCUUGUCCUGAGGGCCAUGCUGUGCCGUGGCUGCGGGACACACCUUUCGUGUGUGGGCACCGUGGAUGGGCGGGUCUAACCCUGUACCCAGUGCGUCCCUCCACUGAGCACCGUGAGGGACAGACUCCCUAACACUGCCGACACCUGUGCAUCCACAAGGGCAUUUGUCAGCGCUGAAUUCCUUGUUGAGCAAGUGGAUAAUAAAGACUUCUCCACUCUGGCUUCUGCCCAUACUGCUCUGCCAAAAGUGCUCUCUCCAAGGUAACCAGUAACCUCUAUGUUGUCCAUUCCGGGGAGCAUUUCUGAGUCCUCAUCUUCCUGGAAUGCUCCUUGGAGGACCAUCUGAGAAUCCUUCUACUGCACACGGAAGAAAAACCAACUCACAUUGUGGCAAACAAAAACACAGUGCCCCCCAGCGGUGCCAGACCCCUCAGGAC